rnacentral:rRNA from 1 species
AUUGAACGCUGGCGGCAGGCCUAACACAUGCAAGUCGAGCGGAUGAAGGGAGCUUGCUCCUGGAUUCAGCGGCGGACGGGUGAGUAAUGCCUAGGAAUCUGCCUGGUAGUGGGGGAUAACGUCCGGAAACGGGCGCUAAUACUGCAUACGUCCUGAGGGAGAAAGUGGGGGAUCUUCGGACCUCACGCUAUCAGAUGAGCCUAGGUCGGAUUAGCUAGUUGGUGGGGUAAAGGCCUACCAAGGCGACGAUCCGUACUGGUCUGAGAGGAUGAUCAGUCACACUGGAACUGAGACACGGUCCAGACUCCUACGGGAGGCAGCAGUGGGGAAUAUUGGACAAUGGGCGAAAGCCUGAUCCAGCCAUGCCGCGUGUGUGAAGAAGGUCUUCGGAUUGUAAAGCACUUUAAGUUGGGAGGAAGGGCAGUAAGUUAAUACCUUGCUGUUUUGACGUUACCAACAGAAUAAGCACCGGCUAACUUCGUG